UUGGACCUGAUAUCACGCAAGAUUACCCGCUGAACUUAA
rnacentral:rRNA from 1 species